rnacentral:rRNA from 1 species
UGGGGAAUUUUGGACAAUGGGCGCAAGCCUGAUCCAGCCAUGCCGCGUGAGUGAAGAAGGCCUUCGGGUUGUAAAGCUCUUUCGCAAGGGAAGAAAAGCCCCUCAAUAAUACCGGGGGGUCAUGACGGUACCUUGAUAAGAAGCACCGGCUAACUACGUGCCAGCAGCCGCGGUAAUACGUAGGGUGCGAGCGUUAAUCGGAAUUACUGGGCGUAAAGCGUGCGCAGGCGGUUUGACAAGUCAGAUGUGAAAUCCCCGGGCUCAACCUGGGAACUGCGUUUGAAACUGUCAGACUAGAGUGUGUCAGAGGGAGGUAGAAUUCCACGUGUAGCAGUGAAAUGCGUAGAGAUGUGGAGGAACACCGAUGGCGAAGGCAGCCUCCUGGGAUAACACUGACGCUCAUGCACGAAAGCGUGGGGAGCAAACAGG